ACACUGCGUUAGUGUUUGUUAGAUGUCGAUCACUUGACGACCAUCCUUUGUCUUGGCACUCGUUUAGAUUAUCCAUCUUCAGGUUCGUUUAUUAGCACCAUCUUGUGGAGAAGCCCACACUUUCCAUCCUCUUGUGGUCGACUCAGCUCUGGUUCUCCGCAUCACGUGGUUAAUUCAUGUACCUGAAUGACAUGCAUUAUGCACAUGAAUGCAUAUAGACAUGAAUAUUACAAACCUAAAUAGUGCUAAGUGAUAGCGAAUAAAACACCUAGCGACGAGGCGUUGUACAAGUUUACGGAAAUACUAGUUAUCGAUAUACGACUACGCGCAAUAAUUACGCUUCUCUAGAUUAAUCGAAUCUAACGCAAACAUUACGAAACAUCUAACUAUUCAUACUAGGUACCUAUAACUCAUUAAGCGCAAUGGUCACACUCCCCCUAGCUUAACCGGAUCAACCCCAAAUAUCAUGGAACCAUCAAACCAUACACAAACUCCAUAUACAUAUAUAUAUCAAAUUACAAUUUUAGAACUAAAAUACCUAAAGUGUUUAUACGCAUUAUUUAUCAGACAGAUCCUAGAUUCUGGUUGAAACAAUUAUAUGGAUGUUACUUGAUCCUAAAUAUUCAAAGUAGCAAUCAACAUCCAUUCAAAUCGCAAAAUCAACCAGCACACAUUCAUGCCUGGUUUAGAGAGUACAAUAAUUGACUUACAAUUUUAGCUUUACGAUUCUGGGACACCUAAUGUUUAUAAAAUUAUAGAAGAACCUUUAUUAACCUUCUAAACUAUUUUUGAGAUUAAUUUAUAUAACACAUUAGUUGGUUACGACAUUUACUGAUCAUAAACAUAGACUGAUUAUACUAACUACUAGAGCAUGACAUUGACUCCAUCGUGCAAACACACCGAAUAUAAUUAACAUCGACAGACCUAGCGAUAAUUGCUUAAAACACUAAAUUUACCUAUGCGUCACCGAAAUACUACACUCUGUAAAAUAGGACUAGUUCGAAUAUACUCGGCAACUAAACUCCUCGAAGCACACCUCACAUCACUGGUAUUUCUAACUUAAGCUUCAUACGCAAACUAAACGUCUUAUUUCACGAUCAUAAAAUCAAUAGAAAAAUAGUAAAUCGGCUCACCACAUCUCAAUUCGAUUUGGUAGUUG
rnacentral:lncRNA from 1 species